AGUGAACGCUGGCGGUAGGCCUAACACAUGCAAGUCGAACGGCAGCACAGUAAGAGCUUGCUCUUACGGGUGGCGAGUGGCGGACGGGUGAGGAAUACAUCGGAAUCUACUUUUUCGUGGGGGAUAACGUAGGGAAACUUACGCUAAUACCGCAUACGACCUACGGGUGAAAGCAGGGGAUCUUCGGACCUUGCGCGAUUGAAUGAGCCGAGGUCGGAUUAGCUAGUUGGCGGGGUAAAGGCCCACCAAGGCGACGAUCCGCAGCUGGUCUGAGAGGAUGAUCAGCCACACUGGAACUGAGACACGGUCCAGACUCCUACGGGAGGCAGCAGUGGGGAAUAUUGGACAAUGGGCGCAAGCCUGAUCCAGCCAUACCGCGUGGGUGAAGAAGGCCUUCGGGUUGUAAAGCCCUUUUGUUGGGAAAGAAAAGCAGCAGGUUAAUACCCCGCUGUUCUGACGGUACCCAAAGAAUAAGCACCGGCUAACUUCGUG
rnacentral:rRNA from 1 species